rnacentral:sRNA from 1 species
GGAAGAAGGAAGUGGGGGGCAUGGAGCGCGAACAAAGGGGCGUCCAAGAUGGACGCCAUGAGGGGCUACGCGGCCAGAGUG